GAUGAACGCUGGCGGCGUGCCUAAUACAUGCAAGUCGAGCGAACGGACGAGAAGCUUGCUUCUCUGAUGUUAGCGGCAGACGGGUGAGUAACACGUGGAUAACCUACCUAUAAGACUGGGAUAACUUCGGGAAACCGGAGCUAAUACCGGAUAAUAUUUUGAACCGCAUGGUUCAAAAGUGAAAGACGGCCUUGCUGUCACUUAUAGAUGGAUCCGCGCUGCAUUAGCUAGUUGGUAAGGUAACGGCUUACCAAGGCAACGAUGCAUAGCCGACCUGAGAGGGUGAUCGGCCACACUGGAACUGAGACACGGUCCAGACUCCUACGGGAGGCAGCAGUAGGGAAUCUUCCGCAAUGGGCGAAAGCCUGACGGAGCAACGCCGCGUGAGUGAUGAAGGUCUUCGGAUCGUAAAACUCUGUUAUUAGGGAAGAACAUAUGUGUAAGUAACUGUGCACAUCUUGACGGUACCUAAUCAGAAAGCCACGGCUAACUACGUG
rnacentral:rRNA from 1 species